CUUCAAGCUCGGGGUGGGGGGCUGAACCCCCUUCUAUUUUAGAAAAUUGAGAAUUUAUUAAGAACACUAUUAAACAAAACUUGACUACUUUUUCAUGAAGUAGAAUCAAAAUUACUAAAAUGGCGUCCUUAAUAAAUCGAUACUUUAUCUUGUUUCAAUGUUUAAUACAAUAUAAUCAUGCACUUAUGCGCUGUAUAACAGAAAUUACUGAAACAUUGAGGAAGUCAAUUGAUGAUAAUUUGUAUACUUGUGGAGUUUUCAUAGACUUUGCAAAAGCAUUUGAUACUGUGAAUCACAAUAUACUAUUGAACAAACUGGAAGCUUACGGUAUAAGAGGUCUUCCACUACAAUGGUUUGCAAGUUAUCUUUCUAAUAGGAAACAAUAUGUAGCACUUGGAAAUUUUGAAUCAACGAGACAGACUAUGAUUUGUGGGAUUCCACAAGGGAGUACACUGGGACCAUUGUUGUUUUUAAUUUAUAUAAAUGAUCUUCCAAAUUGCUCCGAUAAUUUAUUAUUUAAAAUUUUUGCCGAUGAUACAAAUAUUUUUGCUACCUCUAGUAACCUAAAAACCCUUGAAGCUUUGAUGAACUCUGAACUUGAUAAGGUUAAAGAAUGGUGCGAUGUUAAUAAGUUAUCAAUUAAUAUAAGUAAAACGAGUUAUAUGAUUAUAAAGCCCGCCAGAAAAAAAGAUUUUUCGACAACGAUACAAAUUAAAAAUAAUGAUGGAACAUACAAAAAAUUGAUCCGGAAAGAUCAUAUUAAGUAUUUGGGUAUAAUGCUAGAUGACACGAUAUCCUGGAGCUAUCAUACACCAUAUAUAUGUUCUCGAAUAUCUCGUGGCAUUGGCAUUUUAUCCAAACUGCGACACUAUCUCUCUGUCAAACAAUUAUCACAAAUUUAUUAUAGUGUUAUCUAUCCAUAUAUAUCAUACGCGG